rnacentral:rRNA from 1 species
UACGGAGGGUGCGAGCGUUGUCCGGAAUCACUGGGCGUAAAGGGUGCGUAGGCGGUCGGGUAAGUCUGAUGUGAAAUCUCCAAGCCUAACUUGGAAACUGCAUUGGAUACUAUCCGGCUAGAGGAAUGGAGGGGAGACUGGAAUACUUGGUGUAGCAGUGAAAUGCGUAGAUAUCAAGUGGAACACCAGUGGCGAAGGCGAGUCUCUGGACAUUUCCUGACGCUGAGGCACGAAAGCCAGGGGAGCAAACGGG